UACAAGAGUCUCAAGCGUUGUUCGGAUUCAUUGGGCGUAAAGGGUGUGUAGGUGGCGCGCUAAGUCGGGUGUGAAAUUUCGGAGCUUAACUCCGAAACUGCAUUCGAUACUGGCGUGCUUGAGGACUGGAGAGGAGACUGGAAUUCAUGGUGUAGCAGUGAAAUGCGUAGAGAUCAUGAGGAAGACCAGUGGCGAAGGCGGGUCUCUGGACAGUUCCUGACACUGAGACACGAAGGCCAGGGGAGCAAACGGG
rnacentral:rRNA from 1 species